rnacentral:rRNA from 1 species
UGGGGAAUCUUCCGCAAUGGGCGAAAGCCUGAUGGAGCAACGCCGCGUGAAUGAAGAAGGCCUUCGGGUCGUAAAGUUCUGUCUUUAGGGAAGAAGUCUCUUUAUGUAAAUAAUGUAAAGAGGUGACGGUACCUGAGGAGGAAGCUCCGGCUAACUACGUGCCAGCAGCCGCGGUAAUACGUAGGGAGCAAGCGUUGUCAGGAAUUACUGGGCGUAAAGGGCGCGUAGGCGGGAAAUUAAGUUAGGUGUGAA